rfam:Gossypium raimondii Chr03_contig_587, whole genome shotgun sequence.
AUCCCAUGAUGAGGACACUUACAAAGUAACUCCUUGCAUCGCUCCCACGCCUCAUACAAAGACUCAUUAUCCAAUUGUUGGAAAGUUGUGAUCUCUUUCCUUAACUU